UGAUUUAUUUACGAGUUUACUAGAUCGAAAAUUUGCCAUUUUUGGUGUUAAAAAAAAAUUAUAGAUCCAAAUCCAAUGUCACAUUCAGUAAAGAUUUAUGAUACAUGUAUAGGAUGUACUCAAUGUGCCCGAGCCUGACUCAAUGUGUCCGAGCCUGCCCCACCGAUGUAUUAGAAAUGAUACCUUGGGACGGGUGUAAAGCUAAGCAAAUAGCUUCUGCCCCAAGAACGGAGGACUGUGUCGGUUGUAAGAGGUGUGAAUCCGCCUGUCCUACAGAUUUCUUAAGUGUUCGAGUUUAUUUGUGGCAUGAAACAACUCGAAGCAUGGGUCUAGCUUAUUGAGACCGCCCCUUUCUUUUUUUCAAAAAACAAACCCCACGAGAAUACGUUUUUUACUGGCAAAAAUCUGCGCUCAAAAUAGAAAGAUAAUAGAAAUAUCUUUCUAUUUUGAGCGCGGGUUUUUCUAGCCCAAGUGUAUCUUAUUUUUAUCACGAAUUAUUUUCCUUGGUUAACAAUAGUUGUACUUUUACCAAUAGCCGGGGGUUCCUUAAUAUUCUUAUUUCCUCAUCGAGGAAAUAAGGUAAUUAAGUGGUAUACAAUUUGCAUAUGUUUAAU